CGGGGCGUAGCGCAGUCUGGCAGCGCAUUCGGCUGGGGGUCGAAAGGUCGCUGGUUCAAAUCCAGCCGUCCCGACCA
rnacentral:tRNA from 2 species